GAGGCAAGAGAAUCACUUGAACCCGGGAGGCGGAAGUUGCAGUGAGCUGAGAUCGCAUCACUGCACUCCAGCCUGAAUGACAGAGUGAGACAGUCUCAAAAAACAAACAAACAAAACCCAACUUUGGGUCACGCAUCCAUCCUUGACCAAUUAGCUGUAGCUAGGGAAGUGGAGUCCUACGGACACAGCAAACCACCACGAGAAUCAUGGAGAUGAAUAGGGGCAGGAUAAUUUACCAGAGGAAGCCUAGAGUGGAGUGCUGGACAGACCACCAUGUGGAGUUGCCAUCUGAGGACAUUGCUACUUGGAUACCCCCACAGCCUCUCUUGAACCUUCACAGUCCAGCCGAGCUGCCAUCUCUUCAAGGAAGUUUUCCCUGAAGCCCUCAGGUAGACCCGUUUUUCCAUGGCGGCCACAUCAGCAUGCAGCACAUUUAAUUGGAAGUCUCCACAUAUGAGUUGGUUUUCCUUACUUAAAAUAUGCUUAUCAUCCCUUGGAGCACUUGAAAAUAUUGGCUAUUUCCUUCUGACCCCCAUGGUUUCUUUUAAAAAAUUUGCUGUUGUUUGAAUUAUUUUUCUCUACAGGUAUUGACUGCUGCCUCAUGAAGGCUGGUCCUGUCUCUAUAGUGAAUAUUGUGCACCUCAGGGUAGAAUGGAGAGCAGAAGACUUCAAAUCAGGCAGUCUGGGUUCAGACCCCAAUUCUAGUGCUAAAUAGCUACGUGACUUUAGGCCGAUUGUGUGUGACUUCCCUGAGCCCCAGUCUCUUUGCCUGCAAAAUGAGAAAAAUUAUAACAAUGUCAUCGGUUGUUCUGAGGAUUCUGAGAGGAAUUAGUAGGAGAGAGAACUAAGAAGCUGCGGGCCUCUACAGAGCCAUUCAACUGGCAUUUCGGAAGAUGUUGCCCAUCAGAGUCAGACCUUCUUAGCAUCUUCCGGCUGGGCCCAAACUUCCCAAGACCAUUUGGACAAGGUCAUCUCUAUCCCACCAUGGCCUCCUCCCAGAGGAGGAGAAGAAUCAUGCUGUUACAGCAGAACCGAAGAUUUGGGCAAGGGAGCUAAUGAUUAUGUUCUGCGUCAGGUCAGAGAUGGGCUGGGAAAGCCACUCCAAAGCCAAGACAAGCAGUUUCCUGGAAAAAGAAGGCUGCGCGGAGCCCAGAGUGGCCUGGAUCCUGCCUCAUUUCCUGGACCAGCUCCUUAGGUGGUUACUGGAUUGCCAAUAAAGCAGAGCUUAUUAAAGUCAACGAGCUCAGGCUUCAUCGCCGCCAUGGUAUCCAAGCACCAGUCUGUCUGGGAUUUCAUUUGCCAGAUGGACAAAGGAGAGGUUGUUCCAAUACAUAUCCUGAGUGGUGGGGGUGGGGAGAGAAGGGGAAGAAUGCUCUCUAGAGAAUUCUCUUUGUCCUCUGAAGUAAAUAGAGAUCAUGUCUUCCCCAGCCACACUCAGUGAUCUGAAUCUCUUGGACUGUGGAUUUUUCCUUUACCUGCUGUGAAGCCUUGAAAAGUAUGAAUUAGCUUGAUAAUGAUCCUCUAAAGAUGUUCAAGAGUUAAAGACGUGUUUAAGUUCUUCAGGCAAUCCAAUAUGACUACGGGUUUCCAAAAAUUUGAAGGAAACUGAAAAUCAUAGUUCCCAAACCAGAUAUUUUCCGGUGUCCAGAUGUUCACUGGCAUGCAAACCAAAUGUCUGGAUUAUGAGCUCCUUUUUUCAUUUCUUUUUAUCAGCUUACAUCCAGAUGUUGGAUCCAACUGGUCAGAGGCCUGGGGCAGAGACAGAAAUCAAAUCUAGGGUGUUCAUCUAGAGUCUCCUGCUCCUCCAUUCCUGCUUCCUCCUCACGCUGCCCCCACAUCCUCCCCAACUCACCUUCAUGCUACAUCUCGGCAAAUACAGCUCAUAUCCAGGCACGGUGCAGCCCUUGACAGCUGGGUCCGCAAAGGCAGAUCGGGUAUAUCUUUAAAGAAAAGUUAUCUUAACCAUUGAGAAGCCUUCCUUCCUCAGAGGAGAGCACCUCCCCAGCAGACCUCCGAGGAGACCAAGGGCAGGACAGGAAGGGUGAAAGGAAGUUUCAGGACUGCAGGAAAUAAGAGCUUGGAGGUCAAGGGAGAGAUCAGAUAAAACAUGAAUCUGAUCAGCAUCCUAGUGGUCUAGAGUGGAGACAAUCUGCGGAGUCAACCUCAGUAAGGACACACAUAGAGAAGAACCAAAGCCUCUAAAGACGAAGCUGAGAAGUGUACGGUCGUAGAAGACUCGUGUCUGUUAUUCUUAAAAGCUCAAGGAGAUGUUCUGCCAAUUGAAUGGAAACUGUCCAUAGUGGGGAGCAGAGAGCCUCAUCUUUUCUGGAACUGAACAUCCAUCCUUAAGGCCAGAUUUCUCCCAUCACCAACUUUAACUCCUGCCCUAGCCCUCUCUCUUCCUUUUCAAAACCCUCUCCACCCAGGAAGGGAGAUUCUGGAGCCAAGACUGUACCAGCCACACCUCCCCAGAGUUGUUAAGGAAGGAACUCGAAGCCAGGGGUGGUCUUCUGGCAAGCACCCCCACUACCAGUAGCAGGACAGAUGUGUUUCUAAUGGACUACACUAUCCCCGGAGGUCACAUGAUUCAGGCUGCCAAGGGUACCUGCCCUUGGGAAAUCAACUCCCGAAGAUAAAUUGGGAUUGGGUCCUGAGAAGAUCCAUGGAAGCCCAGAGGACCCUGCCUCUCUCUGUUGCUUCAUGCUGUAGAGGCAGUACUGGGGAGGGCCUGCCCCACAUCCGGCAGGGCAGCUGGAACCAUGUGUUUGAUGACACUCUGCUCCCUCAAUGUGGAGCCUCAUCCUCAUCUCACAGUCUAGCAGGCCUCUGGUGGGUUAGGCUUGUCUCACCCAGUGUGUGAGUUUUUUUGGAAGUGACCUGAUUUUGGAGUUUCCCUCCAAGCCUUUCUCAGGUACAUGCUUUCUCUUUUAUUCUGUCUUCUUUUUUUGAUCUUCUUAAAUCUGAUUUUCUCCUUUUUCCCUCUCUUGUCUCCAUCUUUUUUCCAGUCUCUCGCUUCUCUUUAUUUCUCCCCAUAUUUCACUCUGUUCUCUCACCCCAACCUUUCCCUUCUGUUUCUCUCCCUCCCUCUCUUCCCACCCCCUGCCUGGCCUUCCAUAUAUCAAGCAGAGUUUUAUCACCUUAUGCAGGGGCAGCCCUGCCACCUGCCAUAAAGUUGAUAGGCUAAUGACAUUUUGUGGAUAUUGCCAUGUCACAAGUCCAGGACAGCAUCAAAAAUAGCCCUGAUGUCUAAACCACUUCAGCUAUCUUUUUUAUUUUUAAAAUAAAUACAUUCACAUGCUUUUAAGAAACUAUAAAAAUAUAUAAAGUAAAAAGAUCUUUCUCUCACACUGUCUCCACCUCUCCUGGUCUCACCGUUGUGCUUAGGGGAAACCAUUGUGAUUAGUUUCUCCUGUGUCCUUCCAGAGUGUCUUUAUGCAAAUGAAAAUUAUUGUGAUAAUAUAUUCCUAUUUUCCCCCUUACUACACAAAAGAUAGACUACCAUAAUCCCAUUCUGCACUUUUUUUUCACUUGAUAAUAAAAACAUG
rnacentral:lncRNA from 1 species